rnacentral:rRNA from 1 species
UACGUAGGAGACGAGCGUUUGUCCGGAGUUACUGGGCGUAAAAGGGGUGCGCAGGCGGCCCCUGCGCGUCGCGAGUGAAAUCUCCCCGGCUCAACUGGGAGGGUGGUCGCGAGACGGGCAGGGCUUGAGGCUCGGUGAGGGGCGUGGAAUUCCGGGUGGAGCGGUGAAAUGCGUAGAGAUCCGGAGGAACACCAACGGCGUAGGCAGCGCCCUAGACGAGACCUGACGCUCAGGCACGAAAGCGCGGGGAGCGAACAGG